rnacentral:rRNA from 1 species
UACGGGGGGGCAAGCGUUGGUUCGGAAUUACUGGCGUAAAGCGCGCGUAGGCGGCCCUUCAAGUCGGGCGUGAAAGCUCCGGGCUUAACCCGGAAAUUGCGUUCGAUACUGUCGGGCUAGAGUGUGGAAGGGGCUACCGGAAUUCCGUGGUGUAGCGGUGAAAUGCGUAGAGUAUACGGAGGAACACCAGCGGCGAAGGCGGGUGAGCUGGGCCAACACGUGACGCUGAGGCGCGAAAGCGUAGGGUAGCAAACGGG